rnacentral:lncRNA from 1 species
AAGAUUUGAACGGGAAAGUAAUUGUUCUCUGUUUUCACCGUGCCGUGAUGUGCUGAUUUAAGAACUGAGAUUUUUCACCCAAACAGAUCUUUAUUGCAUAUAUUCAUCUUCCAACAGAUACACAUUUAUUUUAAAUUUCCAAACACCAUACUGUUAAGCUAAGUUAAUUAUACUCUGUCGCGAAUUUAUUUUUCGUCUAAACUACUGUGAACUCAUAAGAUUUUGCAGCAAGCCAAAGUUAACCAAGUUCCAUUGAAAUGGUGAAGUCUGCAUAUCAUCUCACCUACGCAUUGAAACGCUCAACGAGGUAUAACGUAGUUCCUUCCACAACUCCAACAGCAAACAAUUGAGCAUCAUCAGGAAGAUAAGCAUUCCCCAUUCGGAGUACCUUAUUUUCGAUGACAACGUCGUGUUCUGCAUGAAGUUUUGCCUUCAACUGAUCUAUGGUAGUACUAUCGUGGAUGACAUAUUCAUA